rnacentral:rRNA from 1 species
ACGGAAGGCAGCAGUGGGGAAUAUUGCACAAUGGGCGAAAGCCUGAUGCAGCGACGCCGCGUGAGUGAAGAAGUAUUUCGGUAUGUAAAGCUCUAUCAGCAGGGAAGAAAAUGACGGUACCUGACUAAGAAGCCCCGGCUAACUACGUGCCAGCAGCCGCGGUAAUACGUAGGGGGCAAGCGUUAUCCGGAUUUACUGGGUGUAAAGGGAGCGUAGACGGUAAUGCAAGUCUGAAGUGAAAGCUCGGGGCUCAACUCCGGAAUUGCUUUGGAAACUGUGUUACUAGAGUGCAGGAGAGGCAAGUGGAAUUCCUAGUGUAGCGGUGAAAUGCGUAGAUAUUAGGAGGAACACCAGUGGCGAAGGCGGCUUGCUGGACUGUAACUGACGUUGAGGCUCGAAAGCGUGGGGAGCAAACAGGAUUAGAUACCCUGGUA